rnacentral:rRNA from 1 species
AGUAUUGAUUUCAUUAGUUGAACAACUAGAUUAAUUUAAAUAAAUAUACACAAAAAGUUUGUACCAAGUCUUAAAUUUUAUAUUACACCGUGAGGGGCCAGAUUAUUAAUUAUAAGUAGCUCCACGCGUACCUUUUGUAUCAGGGUCUAUCUAAUUAUUAAUAGUAGUAUUGAAUCCCGAAACUGGGGGGAGUUAUUUAGCUAUAUUGCCGUGGUGGCAACCCCCGUUUAUAAUAUCUAAAUAGUGGCGAAAAGUCAGCCGGCCCCGGUGAUACCGUGGUUUGGUGGGGAAAUGAAUUUAAUUCAAGCACGUGCCGUGACAUAAGGAUUUAAGGACAAGCUUAAACCCAGACUAUAAUUAUUUUAAGUUUUUAGAGUAGGCUUGCAAUCAGCCACCUAGAGGGGGUUAUACCUCGUCUAUUACACAUAUAAUUUUUAUAAAUUUAGUCUGGUACCCACCUACACUAACUAACUUUUAUUAGUGAAAAUAAUGAUGGAAUUAAUACAGUCCGGGUUACCCCCAAUAAGUACCUCAAAUAUCGCCAACGAACUCGGCAAAUCCCCCGCCCGCCUGUUUACCAAAAACAUCGCCCGCGGCAUAUUCUUGUGGGUACGGCCUGCCCAUUGAUUAUUUUAACGGCCGCAGUAUUUUGACUGUGCAAAGGUAGCAUAAUCACUUGUCCCCUAAUUAGGGGCUGGAAUGAAUGGACUGACGAGGUGGGAGCUGUAUCAGCGAUAAAACUGUAACUUAAUCUUUAAGUCAAAAAGCUUAAAUUUUACCGCAGGACGAGAAGACCCCAUAGAUCUUAAUAUAGUAUACUAUACAUAAUUUAGAAGCCGCACAAGUGUAAUAUUAAUAUAUUUAGUUGGGGUGACACGAAGUCGUAAACACUUCUUUAAAAACAAAAAUUUAAGGACAAAUGACCCGGCCAGCCGAUCAAAAAAUCAAGUUACCUUGGGGAUAACAGCGUAAUCUGUCUUAAGAGUCCUUAUCAAAUGACAGGUUUGCGACCUCGAUGUUGGAUUAAGAUUCCCCACAUGAGCAGCCCCAUGAUGGGGAGGUCUGUUCGACCUACAAAUUCUUACAUGAUCUGAGUUCAAAUCGGCGUGAGCCAGAUUGGUUUCUAUCCGCGCACCAAUUAAAUUAGUACGAAAGGACCAUUUAAUUAAGUAAGACUUUAAUAUAGAAUAAUAUU